AAGCUCUGCAGCACGCAGGGGGGGCGGACGUCAGGCAGGCCACCCGCGCUGAAGAUCAGACACAUCUGGGACGACCGCAACAGCAUGAGACAUUCAUGUUUUGGUGGUGUUGUUCUUCACGGUGCGAUGGGUCCUACUGACUGAGAGGGAAGCUCAGGCCCUGCUCCUCCAUGGCCGUCUGUACGGAGGCCAAGUCCCCGGUGCUGUGGAUGGCCAGUGGUCAGACCUGGAAGUUGGCAAGGAGGUGCUUAGACUGUUGGUCGUGCUCGGACUCCACGAUGACGUCAGACAGCUU